AGUGAACGCUGGCGGCGUGCUUAACACAUGCAAGUCGAACGAGAACGGAUUAUAGCUUGCUCUAAUUGUCAGCUAAGUGGCGCACGGGUGAGUAAUGUAUAGGUAAUAUGCCUCUUACUAAGGGAUAACAAAUGGCAACGUUUGCUAAUACCUUAUACUCCUUAUUAACAGAAGUUAAUAAGGGAAAGAUUUAUUGGUAAGAGAUUAGCCUGUAUUGUAUCAGUUAGUUGGUGGGAUAAUGGCUUAGCAAGACUAUGACACAUAACUGGUUUGAGAGGAUGAUCAGUCACACUGGAACAGGGACACGGUCCAGACUCCUACGGGAGGCAGCAGUGGGGAAUAUUGCACAAUGGACGAAAGUCUGAUGCAGCAACGCCGCGUGUAUGAUGACACAUUUCGGUGCGUAAACUCCUUUUAUAUGAGAAGAUAAUGACGGUAUUAUAUGAAUAAGCACCGGCUAACUCCGUGCAGCAGCCGCAGUAA
rnacentral:rRNA from 1 species